AACGCGAAGAACCUUACCUGGACUAGAAUGUGAGGGAAGGGCUUCUAACAGAGUCCGUCCGGGAAACCGGACCCAAAACAAGGUGCUGCAUGGCUGUCGUCAGCUCGUGUCGUGAGAUGUUGGGUUAAGUCCCGCAACGAGCGCAACCCUUAUCAACAGUUGCCAUCAUUAAGUUGGGAACUCUGUUGAGACUGCCAUUGAUAAAACGGAGGAAGGUGGGGAUGAUGUCAAGUCAUCAUGGCCUUUAUGUUCAGGGCUACACACGUGCUACAAUGGCCGGUACAAAACGUCGCAAUCCCGCAAGGGGGAGCUAAUCGCAAAAACCGGUCUCAGUUCGGAUUGAAGUCUGCAACUCGACUUCAUGAAGUUGGAAUCGCUAGUAAUCGCGGAUCAGAACGCCGCGGUGAAUACGUUCCCGGGUCUUGUACACACC
rnacentral:rRNA from 1 species